UAAAAGGCGUUGAGGAAGACAAAAAUAUUCAUAUUUUCAUUUACAGAGAGUCGUAGGUGCUGAGAUACGAUGAUGAAAGAAUAUAUAAUAAAUCACUUCUAAGCUUAUCUUUGCUAAAGCGAAAGCAAGUAGUAAGAUACGGUGUUCACCGUUAUAUGAAUGAGAGUUGAUUGACUCAAAAUGAGGAGGCAGAUUUUUAAUUUUAUUUGCAAUUAGGGUGGUACCGCGGAAUUGUAUUUUCGUCCCUGUA
rnacentral:ncRNA from 1 species